rnacentral:rRNA from 1 species
CCUACGGGAGGCAGCAGUGAGGAAUAUUGGUCAAUGGCCGGAAGGCUGACCCAGCCAAGCCGCGUGAAGGACGAAGUUGCCAAGCAUUGUAAACUUCUUUUGUCAAGGGACAAAAUCAGGCUCGAGAGCCUGACCGAGGGUACUUGAAGAAAAAGCAUCGGCUAACUCCGUGCCAGCAGCCGCGGUAAUACGGAGGAUGCGAGCGUUAUCCGGAUUUAUUGGGUUUAAAGGGUGCGUAGUCGGGAUGUUAAGUCAGCGGUAAAAGCCCGGGGCUCAACCCCGGCUAGCCGUUGAAACUGGCUGGCUUGAGAAGGCGAGAGGUAUGCGGAAUGAGCAGUGUAGCGGUAAAAUGCUUAGAUAU